UACGUAGGGUGCAAGCGUUGUCCGGAAUUAUUGGGCGUAAAGAGCUCGUAGGCGGCUUGUCACGUCUGCUGUGAAAACUCGGGGCUCAACCCCGAGCCUGCAGUGGAUACGGGCUAGCUAGAGUGCGGUAGGGGAGACUGGAAUUCCUGGUGUAGCGGUGAAAUGCGCAGAUAUCAGGAGGAACACCGGUGGCGAAGGCGGGUCUCUGGACAUUUCCUGACGCUGAGGCACGAAAGCCAGGGGAGCAAACGGG
rnacentral:rRNA from 1 species